GUUAUCGAACGAGCUGCCGCGGCCCCUCCAAUCCGCGGCUCGCCGGUAAGCCGCCUCGGAUUCCAAUGUCUCCACACGCCCGAGCUCCGUCCAUGUAUGAAGAAUACAUCCCACUCGACCCCGUCCUACGCCUCGCUCCCGGACGGUCGCCGCCGCCGGCGACAGUCGUGCGUGACGAGGAAGAAGAGCGAGUGGGAUGGGGCGCUUGGCGGCGGCUCGGGAAGGAAAACGAAGAGAACUACACAGCGGCUAGGCGGGAGGAGGCGACGCCACCUCAGGAUCGGGAGGGGAACCGGUGCGGCGGGCGGCUGCAGGCGGGAGGCGGGAGGCCGAGGCGAGUUGAAAAGUCGUGGGGAAAGAGUAAACGGAGAAUCCAAGUGGAAAUGACGCGGACAAAGCUCCCCCCGCCCUCCACCACGGCGGCUGUCUCUCUGCCCGUCGUCGACCUCUCUCUCUGCCGCUACGAAGUCCGCCGCGCCGUCUUCGACGCCAGCAAGGGCCUCGGCUUCUUCCAGGCGGCGGCCAUCUCCCUGCCCGCCGUCGACCUCUUCCUAGACCGCGACGAGCUAGGUCCGCCGCAUCGUCAUCGAUGCCCGGCAAGGUGCUGUACCAUGGCGUGUGUGCUGAGGCGAUGCGGGCCAUGAGGAGAUGUGCGAGGAGUUCGGCGGAGGCCUCGACUGGGUUGUGAAAGGACGGAGAGCACGCAGCUUGGAAACAGUGGCACCGAGCGUUGGGGUCGGCGACAAUCUAGGAGAUGAGGCUGGCCGCAAAUCGAUCUGUUCAUCCCUCUCUCUUAGAAUCACUAAGAGAGGGAUCUAACAGCAAGUUCAGAGGAAGAAUACUUUGUCCGGUAUCCAAUUCCAAAUAUUCUGAACACCCACCAACUCUGAACUUACAUGAUUCCUUGUUUUGUUUUUCUUCAAUUAUCUGUGUAGAAUAUUGGUAGAUAUAUACCAAGUGCCAUCUUGGAAAUUGCUUCUAUUUUCCAGAUAUUCAGAACAUAGCUUACCCUCUAAUUUUGGUAGAUAACAAACCGUGCCUGCAGUAAAACUUUGUGAGUGUAUUAGUUACACUGUUACAGCUAGAUUAGCAUCCAUAUAAAGUUAAGAUGAGCAGAAUGGCUUGGUGUAUGUUGUUUAGUUUUGACUAUUUUUUUAUCUUGCAAGUGUAGAUGUAAUGAUUUAUGAUCUGAUAUGUCCUAUGUAGGAGAAGAAAAGGGAACCGAAAACAUAUAUAAAGGCUUAGCUCUACUUUAUUGUUUUUUCUCUACAAGAGUACCUAUUUUUAUUUAUUUCAGGAACUUCAAAAGUUCCUUUUUCUCAUGCUUAAUAUUUAUGUAUGUUCCUAAUUUGGUGAAAUGAUAACAAGAGUAGGUAUAGCUAAUGAAUAUUGGAUAUGUGGACUGCUCUGGUGCAUAAAUCUGAUGCUUGGAUCCAGGUGUUUUGAUUCCAUUAUGGUAUUCAGAUAAACCGAAGUAAAUGCUACCAGUAACAAUUCACACUUAAGUAUGUGACAUCUUGAUUGUAGUAGUUCACACGCACAUCCACCCCGACAGAACAUAUUGUGUUUUUUCAUUAGAAGAAGGCGGACAAGCAUAUAUUAGCAGGUAGUUUCAACAAAGAAAUUAGAGCAGUUAUGCGUCUGGUUAAAAGUUUGGUGGUAAAGCCCUGAUACACCAGACUAUGCAGACAUGCAGUGGUAUUAACUGUUUGGUUGUUAAUAAAAUUAAUAGUGUAAUAUAUUCAUCACUGUUAUGUAGACCUGAUUUAGUUCCUUUUUUGUUCCGUUGUUGACUAUGCCCAACAUAUAUACCAGUUUACGAAUAGAAUCUUGUUCAGUGUAACAAAGCAAUGCUCCAUAAUUUUUACCCAUGCUUUUUUUUCCUUGAGUGCAUAAGAAGGUUGCCACUUGAGCAAGCAUGUGGCAGUACAUAUUGGUUUGCCAUGUGUUAUACUGAAUGCUACAUUGUGAGCUAUAAUUGAUAAUUAGCUUAUCUUGCCACUAAGUGUCAGUACAUUAUUGCAAUAGUAAGAAAGCAAUGCCCUCCUUAAUUCUGUAUAGCAUGCAUGUGGCUUGCAAAGUUACAACAUUGUAUCAGUCUCGCAGCUAUCCUGUUGCAGGUUACAACAUUGGUUUGGAUGAAGUUCCAGUUAGUAGUACAAUCCCUAAAGACAUGGGUUGAGGGUUACUAACAUACUAGGAUAUCAUUGCUCUAAGAAAGAUGAAUAAAAAGUGAAAUUCAUGUUUGAAGUACACUUGCUUUGAUGGAUUCUUAUUUCUUAACGAAUGCUACUGUACUCCAAUCAAUACUGUUCAUUAGCAGCACCUCAUGUCAAUCAACUACUGUACUCAUGAUGCUUUUACAUGUAAAACACUAUAAUUUGUGUUGACUAUUCCAAUGGUUUUUCAUGUAGAAUGUUCUGAUGUGGAGUGGUCCAAAGAAAGCACGAGAAGGUGAAGAUAAAGAAGCAAACCAGCUCGGCAUAGCUGGAGCCUGGAUCAGGAGGGUUCAAAGUCUAAAACAACAUAGGGGCAUGUUGGGCACUUUGGGCUUGGGCUGUACUUUCCAACCAUGUGUUGAGUUUUGAGCUGUGAUGUACUCCUCUCUCUGUGUCAUAUUAAGUGACUUUUUACUACAUGUAUUUAAAUGACUUUCUAUUACAUGUAUCUAAAAGUUUUUUAGACAUAAAUGCAUUCAUAUUUGAUUAAA